rnacentral:rRNA from 1 species
GACGUAGGGGGCUAGAGUUGUCCGGAUUUACUGGGUGUAAAGGGUGCUCAGGUGGAUUUGUAAGUCAGAGGUGAAAUUCCAGAGCUUAACUUUGGAGCUGCCUUUGAUACUGCAAGUCUUGAGUUUGGGAGAGGGUAAUGGAAUAUCUGGUGUAGCAGUGAAAUGCGUAGAUAUCAGAUAGAACACCAAUGGCGAAGGCAGUUACCUGGCUCAAAACUGACGCUAAAGCACGAAAGUGUGGGGAGCAAACAGG